rnacentral:rRNA from 1 species
GACGAACGCUGGCGGCGUGCUUAACACAUGCAAGUCGAACGGAAAGGCCCUGCUUUUGUGGGGUGCUCGAGUGGCGAACGGGUGAGUAACACGUGAGUAACCUGCCCUUGACUUUGGGAUAACUUCAGGAAACUGGGGCUAAUACCGGAUAGGAGCUCCUGCUGCAUGGUGGGGGUUGGAAAGUUUCGGCGGUUGGGGAUGGACUCGCGGCUUAUCAGCUUGUUGGUGGGGUAGUGGCUUACCAAGGCUUUGACGGGUAGCCGGCCUGAGAGGGUGCCCGGCCAAAUGGGGACGGGGAUACGGCCCAAACCCCUAGGGGGGGCAGCAGGGGGGAAUAUGGCAAAAGGGGCGGAAGCCUGAUGCAGCAACGCCGGGGGGGGGAUGACGGCCUUCGGGUGGUAAACCGCUUUCGCCUGUGACGAAGCGGGGGUGACGGUAAUGGGGAAAGAAGCACCGGCUAACUACGU